rnacentral:rRNA from 1 species
CAGCCGUAAACUAUGCUCGCUAGGUGUCAGGGACGGUGCGACCGUUUCUGGUGCCGCAGGGAAGCCGUGAAGCGAGCCACCUGGGAAGUACGGUCGCAAGGCUGAAACUUAAAGGAAUUGGCGGGGGAGGCACAACAACGGGUGGAGCUUGCGGUUUAAUUGGAUUCAACGCCGGAAAUCUUACCGGGACCGACAGCAACAUGAAGGCCAAGCUGAAGACUUUGCCGGAUUAGCUGAGAGGAGGUGCAUGGCGUAGUCGUGU